UGGCUCAGGAUGAACGCUGGCGGCGUGCCUAACACAUGCAAGUCGAACGGGAACUCCUAGAUGAAGUUUCGAUGGAUUUUAGGAAAUUCUAGUGGCGGACGGGUGAGUAACGCGUGGGUAACCUGCCCUUAAGAGGGGAAUAACAGCGAGAAAUCGCUGCUAAUACACCAUAUGCUUACGGUAUCGCAUGAUACAGUGAGGAAAAGAAUUUCGCUUAAGGAUGGACCCGCGUUUGAUUAGCCAGUUGGCAGGGUAACGGCCUACCAAAGCAACGAUCAAUAGCCGGCCUGAGAGGGUGAACGGCCACAUUGGAACUGAGAUACGGUCCAGACUCCUACGGGAGGCAGCAGUGGGGAAUA
rnacentral:rRNA from 1 species